UUUAAUAGCAGCAAUGGGAACAUGGUCAAUAGAAACCCAUUAUUCUGUUUUUAGACUUUCAUAGCGUAGCAAAGCAGCACCAGUAGUUUUAGCUGCAUGAUUGUUCUGCUGAGACAUGUAAGACUAGUGCUUGCCCUUUCUUUUUACCAAGUAUUAAAAACAGUGCUUUUUACAACAGACUCAGUGCAGGUGCAGAUCUUUAUAUCUCAGGAAAAAAUGCCAGUUGGCAUCAUGCUCACGUGUGCACUUUAAGCUUAAACUACCCCAAAUGA